rnacentral:rRNA from 1 species
UACGUAGGGCGCAAGCGUUAUCCGGAAUUAUUGGGCGUAAAGAGCUCGUAGGCGGUUUGUCGCGUCUGCCGUGAAAGUCCGGGGCUCAACUCCGGGCCUGCAGUGGGUACGGGCAGACUAGAGUGCGGUAGGGGAGACUGGAAUUCCUGGUGUAGCGGUGAAAUGCGCAGAUAUCAAGAGGAACACCUGCGGCGAAGGCGGGUUGCUGGGCUGACACUGACGCUGAUGCGCGAAAGCUAGGGGAGCGAACGGG